CAGCAUUCUGUAGCAAUACAGGGUGUGGGCGCGUGGCGAACGGGUGCGUAACACGUGGAUAACCUUCCUUGAGGUGGGGAAUAACCCAGUGAAAAUUGGGCUAAUACCGCAUAACAUGACGAUGGCACAUGCCGUUGUCUUCAAAGGCGCAAGUCGCCACAAGAGGGAUCCGCGGCCGAUUAGCUUGUUGGCGAGGUAAUGGCUCACCAAGGCAUUGAUCGGUAGCCGGACUGAGAGGUUGGCCGGCCACACUGGAACUGAGACACGGUCCAGACUCCUACGGGAGGCAGCAGUGGGGAAUCUUGCACAAUGGACGAAAGUCUGAUGCAGCAACGCCGCGUGGGGGAUGAAGCUUCUCGGA
rnacentral:rRNA from 1 species